AUUGAACGCUGGCGGCAUGCUUUACACAUGCAAGUUGAACGGCAGCGCGGGCUUCGGCCUGGCGGCGAGUGGCGAACGGGUGAGUAAUGCAUCGGAACGUGCCCAGUAGUGGGGGAUAGCCCGGCGAAAGCCGGAUUAAUACCGCAUACGACCUGAGGGUGAAAGCGGGGGACCGAAAGGCCUCGCGCUAUUGGAGCGGCCGAUGUCGGAUUAGCUAGUUGGUGGGGUAAAGGCUUACCAAGGCGACGAUCCGUAGCUGGUCUGAGAGGACGACCAGCCACACUGGGACUGAGACACGGCCCAGACUCCUACGGGAGGCAGCAGUGGGGAAUUUUGGACAAAGGGGGCAACCCUGAUCCAGCCAUGCCGCGUGCGGGAAGAAGGCCUUCGGGUUGUAAACCGCUUUUGUUCGGGAAGAAAUCCUCUGGGCUAAUACCCCGGGGGGAUGACGGUACCGGAAGAAUAAGCACCGGCUAACUACGUG
rnacentral:rRNA from 1 species